rnacentral:rRNA from 1 species
ACUCUAAGCGGUGGAUCACUCGGCUCAUGGGUCGAUGAAGAACGCAGCAAACUGUGCGUCAUCGUGUGAACUGCAGGACACAUGAACAUCGACAUUUUGAACGCAUAUCGCAGUCCAUGCUGUUAUGUACUUUAAUUAAUUUUAUAGUGCUGCUUGGACUACAUAUGGUUGAGGGUUGUAAGACUAUGCUAAUUAAGUUGUUUAUAAAUUUUAUAAGCAUAUGGUAUAUUAUUGGAUAAAAUAAUAAUAUUUUAUUCAUAAUAUUAAAAAAUAUAUAUGAAAAACAUUAUCUCACAUUUGGAUGUGAAAAACGAAGAGAAAUAUUUUCUUUUUCAAUCAAGUAAUACUGAGAAAUGUCUAGCAUAAAAAAUUGAAUUAUUUUUCAUCUAGAAUUGUCUCUUAUUAAUGAUUCGGAAAUAGAAAAAACUUGGUUAUGUUAUUAUUCUUCGUUGGUUCGUUUAAUGGAAAACACUUUGCUACAAGAAAUAAUGGAAAUUUUAUAACGAAUUUAAUAAAAUGUUUUUAUCAUUAUAUAUAAAGAAUUAAUGGCAAGAAAAAGUUAUAUACAACCUCAACUCAUAUGGGACUACCCCCUGAAUUUAAGCAUAUUAAUUAGGGGAGGAAAAGAAACUAACAAGGAUUUUCUUAGUAGCGGCGAGCGAAAAGAAAACAGUUCAGCACUAAGUCACUUUGUCUAUAUGGCAAAUGUGAGAUGCAGUGUAUGGAGCGUCAAUAUUCUAGUAUGAGAAAUUAACGAUUUAAGUCCUUCUUAAAUGAGGCCAUUUACCCAUAGAGGGUGCCAGGCCCGUAUAACGUUAAUGAUUACUAGAUGAUGUUUCCAAAGAGUCGUGUUGCUUGAUAGUGCAGCACUAAGUGGGUGGUAAACUCCAUCUAAAACUAAAUAUAACCAUGAGACCGAUAGUAAACAAGUACCGUGAGGGAAAGUUGAAAAGAACUCUGAAUAGAGAGUUAAACAGUACGUGAAACUGCUUAGAGGUUAAGCCCGAUGAACCUGAAUAUCCGUUAUGGAAAAUUCAUCAUUAAAAUUGUAAUAUUUAAAUAAUAUUAUGAGGAUAGUGUGCAUUUUUUCCAUAUAAGGACAUUGUAAUCUAUUAGCAUAUACCAAAUUUAUCAUAAAAUAUAACUUAUAGUUUAUUCCAAUUAAAUUGCUUGCAUUUUAACACAGAAUAAAUGUUAUUAAUUUGAUAAAGUGCUGAUAGAUUAAUAUGAUUACAGUGCGUUAAUUUUUCGGAAUUAUAUAAUGGCAUAAUUAUCAUUGAUUUUUGUGUUUAUUAUAUGCACUUGUAUGAUUAACAAUGCGAAAGAUUCAGGAUACCUUCGGGACCCGUCUUGAAACACGGACCAAGGAGUCUAACAUAUGUGCAAGUUAUUGGGAUAUAAACCUAAUAGCGUAAUUAACUUGACUAAUAAUGGGAUUAGUUUUUUAACUAUUUAUAGCUAAUUAACACAAUCCCGGGGCGUUCUAUAUAGUUAUGUAUAAUGUAUAUUUAUAUUAUUUAUGCCUCUAACUGGAACGUACCUUGAGCAUAUAUGCUGUGACCCGAAAGAUGGUGAACUAUACUUGAUCAGGUUGAAGUCAGGGGAAACCCUGAUGGAAGACCGAAACAGUUCUGACGUGCAAAUCGAUUGUCAGAAUUGAGUAUAGGGGCGAAAGACCAAUCGAACCAUCUAGUAGCUGGUUCCUUCCGAAGUUUCCCUCAGGAUAGCUGGUGCAUUUUAAUAUUAUAUAAAAUAAUCUUAUCUGGUAAAGCGAAUGAUUAGAGGCCUUAGGGUCGAAACGAUCUUAACCUAUUCUCAAACUUUAAAUGGGUAAGAACCUUAACUUUCUUGAUAUGAAGUUCAAGGUUAUGAUAUAAUGUGCCCAGUGGGCCACUUUUGGUAAGCAGAACUGGCGCUGUGGGAUGAACCAAACGUAAUGUUACGGUGCCCAAAUUAACAACUCAUGCAGAUACCAUGAAAGGCGUUGGUUGCUUAAAACAGCAGGACGGUGAUCAUGGAAGUCGAAAUCCGCUAAGGAGUGUGUAACAACUCACCUGCCGAAGCAACUAGCCCUUAAAAUGGAUGGCGCUUAAGUUGUAUACCUAUACAUUACCGCUAAAGUAGAUGAUUUAUAUUACUUGUGAUAUAAAUUUUGAAACUUUAGUGAGUAGGAAGGUACAAUGGUAUGCGUAGAAGUGUUUGGCGUAAGCCUGCAUGGAGCUGCCAUUGGUACAGAUCUUGGUGGUAGUAGCAAAUAAUCGAAUGAGACCUUGGAGGACUGAAGUGGAGAAGGGUUUCGUGUGAACAGUGGUUGAUCACGAGUUAGUCGGUCCUAAGUUCAAGGCGAAAGCCGAAAAUUUUCAAGUAAAACAAAAAUGCCAAAUUAUAUAAACAAAGCGAAAAUAAUACACUUGAAUAAUUUUGAACGAAAGGGAAUACGGUUCCAAUUCCGUAACCUGUUGAGUAUCCGUUUGUUAUUAAAUAUGGGCCUCGUGCUCAUCCUGGCAACAGGAACGACCAUAAAGAAGCCGUCGAGAGAUAUCGGAAGAGUUUUCUUUUCUGUUUUAUAGCCGUACUACCAUGGAAGUCUUUCGCAGAGAGAUAUGGUAGAUGGGCUAGAAGAGCAUGACAUAUACUGUUGUGUCGAUAUUUUCUCCUCGGACCUUGAAAAUUUAUGGUGGGGACACGCAAACUUCUCAACAGGCCGUACCAAUAUCCGCAGCUGGUCUCCAAGGUGAAGAGUCUCUAGUCGAUAGAAUAAUGUAGGUAAGGGAAGUCGGCAAAUUAGAUCCGUAACUUCGGGAUAAGGAUUGGCUCUGAAGAUUGAGAUAGUCGGGCUUGAUUGGGAAACAAUAACAUGGUUUAUGUGCUCGUUCUGGGUAAAUAGAGUUUCUAGCAUUUAUGUUAGUUACUUGUUCCCCGGAUAGUUUAGUUACGUAGCCAAUUGUGGAACUUUCUUGCUAAAAUUUUUAAGAAUACUAUUUGGGUUAAACCAAUUAGUUCUUAUUAAUUAUAACGAUUAUCAAUUAACAAUCAAUUCAGAACUGGCACGGACUUGGGGAAUCCGACUGUCUAAUUAAAACAAAGCAUUGUGAUGGCCCUAGCGGGUGUUGACACAAUGUGAUUUCUGCCCAGUGCUCUGAAUGUCAAAGUGAAGAAAUUCAAGUAAGCGCGGGUCAACGGCGGGAGUAACUAUGACUCUCUUAAGGUAGCCAAAUGCCUCGUCAUCUAAUUAGUGACGCGCAUGAAUGGAUUAACGACGGACGUGUUUUCCUCGAGCUCCCAUUGCUACGGUCAUUGUUGAGUAAAUCCGCGGAUUUAUACGUUGAAAAACGUGUGUGUGGUGAAGGUGUCGCGAACAAAAGUUGAAAAUUUGUGAACGAAAGAACAUCGCGUGUUGUGGAAAUAAACGAUUUUCAAUUGGAAAUUUUCCACGAGGGCCACGUGUUGAGUGAGAGCGCUCUCUGCGAGAGAGGCGUUAGCCCUUUUCGUGUGGGAUUCCCUCAGCGCCAGCUGAUCGGUUGUGAACUUUGCUAAGGUGUGUGCAUUGGAUAAUUUUUAGUGUUGCCAUACCGAGCAAUUGG